rnacentral:rRNA from 1 species
UCAGGAUGAACGCUGGCGGCGUGCCUAACACAUGCAAGUCGAACGAAGCAUACGGACCGGAGAUUCGUCGAAGGACCGUAUGACUUAGUGGCGGACGGGUGAGUAAUGUAUGAGCAACCUGCCUUUCAGAGGGGACAACAGUUGGAAACGACUGCUAAUACCGCGUAACGUAUCGUGGGGGCAUCCUCGUGAUACCAAAGGAGCAAUCCGCUGAAAGAUGGGCUCAUAUCUGAUUAGCUUGUUGGCGGGGUAACGGCCCACCAAGGCGACGAUCAGUAGCCGGACUGAGAGGUUGAACGGCCACAUUGGGACUGAGAUACGGCCCAGACUCCUACGGGAGGCAGCAGUGGGGAAUAUUGGGCAAUGGGCGAAAGCCUCGACCCAGCAACGCCGCGUGAAGGAAGAAGGUCUUCGGAUUGUAAACUUCUUUUAUGAGGGACGAAGGACGUGACGGUACCUCAUGAAUAAGCCACGGCUAACUACGUGCCAGCCGCCGC